AAUUAAUUUUAAUGAAAUAAAUUAUAAAUAUUAAUUUAAAAUUUAAUUAAUUAUUUUAUUUGGGGUGAUAAAAAAAUAUAUUUAACUUUUUUUUUAAUUUAACCUUAAUAAUUGAAUAUAAUGAUCCCUAUUUUAUGAUUAUUAAA
rnacentral:rRNA from 1 species